AAUCUACUCAUUAUCAUUAUAAUUAUCACUUCUACAACUUUAUAUACAUUAUAGAAUCUCAAAGAGAUUUCAAAAGAAUUUAAAUUGCUCAUACUCAAUUUUGUUAAAGAAAGCAAUGCCCAACCUCCUUGAAAUAAAUUGUUAGUGAGUUUGUCUCGUGGACCAGUGAGAGCUUUAAAAUCUGUUCUCCUUUUCAUAUAGGAACUAGAAACUGAUUAACCCAACUUUUAAGGGUCCCAAGACCUGAACAUAUAAAAUACAAGAAAUAGCGUAACUUUAUCUCGUCACUUGUUGAGUGGUUAAUGGCAAAUACCUUUCUUUCGAAUAAUUUUUAAAGCGUAUCAUUAGUAAGUGCAUCUAUAGUCAUGGAUCACAUAAAUUUUUUUGCCAGAAAGUAGCAUUUCAAAAUAUUUCGUCUCAUCACAAACUACUAUAUAGAAUGGCUAGCAACGUUUGAUAACUCUCCCUAGAAUUCAAAUUCUUCUCAUUUUCCUCAGUAGGAGCAGUGGCAUAGGAAGCAAGGGCAGCAAGGUCGUCCUUCAUUUUUAACCAUUAGUACAUAUAAAAAAAAUAAAUUAUGAUACUUACCUUUCCUAAUAUAGAGAGUUUAGCUAUAGCUAAAAGUACUGAAAAAUUUGACAAGCUGCCAUUAGCAAUCGCAUUAUGAUCAAAAAGUUUCGCAAGCUGUCUCAAACGGCCGGUUUCAUCAGUACUUUCUAAUGUGGUAAUAAUACUCGUAUCAUUGUUAGAAAACAAAGGAUCGGGCUUUUCAGGAAACCCGUCCGUUAGCGUAACUAACAGAAAACUGACCGGAAAUGCAGGCUUUGCAUUUUCUGAUACUUGUUUUCCAUACUUAUCCGUAUAUCGAUAGAGGACAUCUGGAACGUAUCUUGUUUGAUCCUCUUUUUUAACCAACAUGCGAUCAGGAUCGACGCUUGGUUGAAUAAGAUCUGCUUGGUAUAGAGCUGUACCGAUAUUUGAGACUUGGUAAGACAUAACUUCAAUUUCCCCAUUUAGAUUACCGCUAAUAACAGAUGUUACAAACUUGGACCCAAAAUAACCGCUGCGAGACCAUUUACAGGGGUUCUUAAAUUUGGUUUGAAAAUUUGCAGAGUUGUAGACUUCUAAAGACGAUAGAAAAUAAGAAUCAGAGUGUCUCUUACAAAGUACUUUUCCAGAAUUACUACCAUCGUCUGUCAGAUCAGUAAAGAUAAUACCAAUUCUUCUCAAUCCACAAGCAGUUGCAACUUGUUCUACAAGGGCUUCAUCGGCCCAUUCCUCUAAUGUAACGCCGUCAGCCUCCGAAACCUGAGGGGGUUCGUAUAUAGCUUCAAUCACUCCCUUAAUUCCUAAAGGAACGUUAUUGUAUUGUUCGAAAUGUCCAUACGUAUAACCAAUCCUUUGAAAACCGGAUUGACGCCAUUUAUUGAGAAACGAAUCGACAAUGCCGGGAGAAGCAAAUUCAAUAUGAUCAAUAACACGAAAUGGUUGGAGAUUGAGCAUUACAGUUGAUGGUUGGCAUUUGGUACAAAUCCCAGCGGGCCAAGGAGGAUGACCAGAAGGACACUUUUCUUUCACUGUAAAACUAGGCUCCUCAAGAGGAGGAAUAAACGAUUGAGAGCUAGCAUAUUUAUUCACAUUAGAGUUUAUUUUUCUCAAAUAAGCAUGAAAGGAAAGGUGCUUGAUUUUAUUUUCUUGUCGAUAGGAUUCAUCAUACGGUUCUAAAGGCGAGCAAUAGUCGCACAUUCCUUUAGGGCCGUGCCGACAUAAAGAGGUCAUGGAACGACGUAUCAAGCCAUCUUCUUUUUCUAAAGAAUCAUCAAUGGGAUCUUGAAUGACAGGCAUAGAAGGUUUUUUUUCUGAAACAUCAGGUGUGGAAACCUGCUUUGGGGCACCAGUUACAGUGAGAGCAGGUU